rnacentral:rRNA from 1 species
UCGGGAAUUUUGGGCAAUGGGCGAAAGCCUGACCCAGCAACGCCGCGUGAGGGAUGAAGUAUUUCGGUAUGUAAACCUCGAAAGAAUGGGAAGAAUAAAUGACGGUACCAUUUAUAAGCUCCGGCUAACUACGUGCCAGCAGCCGCGGUAAUACGUAGGGAGCAAGCGUUGUUCGGAUUUACUGGGCGUAAAGGGCGCGUAGGCGGCGCGGUAAGUCACUUGUGAAAUCUCUGAGCUUAACUCAGAACGGCCACGUGAUACUGCUGUGCGAGAGUGCGGAAGAGGCAACCGGAAUUCUUGGUGUAGCGGUGAAAUGCGUAGAUAUCAAGAGGAACACCUGAGGCGAAGGCGGGUUGCUGGGCCGACACUGACGCUGAUGCGCGAAAG